rnacentral:rRNA from 1 species
UACGAAGGGGGCUAGCGUUGCUCGGAAUUACUGGGCGUAAAGGGCGCGUAGGCGGAUAGUUUAGUCAGAGGUAAAAGCCCAGGGCUCAACCUUGGAACUGCCUUUGAUACUGGCUAUCUUGAGUACGGGAGAGGUGUGUGGAACUCCGAGUGUAGAGGUGAAAUUCGUAGAUAUUCGGAAGAACACCAGUGGCGAAGGCGACACACUGGCCCGUUACUGACGCUGAGGCGCGAAAGCGUGGGGAGCAAACAGG